rnacentral:lncRNA from 1 species
UUAACAGUAAUAUUAUCAUGUUGGUGGCUACCCCCAGCGGAGUGCCAUCCUCGCGUUUGCUAGGUUAUAUCCUUUGUGAGGUCUGCUGAGUGUUUCCUUUUUAGCCUUCUUUCCAUGUUUGAGGCGUUGAUCGUCUCCGCAGCUAGCCGGUUUGAGUGUGUUGCUAUUCUUUCUUUGUAUCUUUCCGCAUAACUGCUAAUUAUUUGCUUGACCGUUGGUAUUCUCAGGUUCCUCCGUAUGUCCUCGUUUCUAACGUACCAUGGGAUGUUUACUAUCAUUCUAAGAAUUUUAGUUUGCAUUGUCUCUAUUUUGUUUAUACGGCUCAUUGCUGCCGUCCCCCAUAGUGGUAUUCCAUUCCAUUCAAAUGCCACAUUUAUUGUAAAUUGCGAUGAACUUGUUGACAUUCUUACAAACAUCGUGGUCCUUUCUCUAUUUCGUUGGUGUCGGAGUCCGUUCGAACUAGUCGACUAAUGACGGAAGUUAUUUAUGUUACAAAGAUAAGAAGCCGAACGCGUCUUUAAAUGACAGAUUUAACGCCAGUAUUACUCAGUUCAUAGAUCACUCGCAAUAUUUAAUUGCAAUAGUGUCUGUGCCGAUCAUUUCUUGCCUGCAAUGUUCAAACCAAAUUCCACAAAAAAUACGAAUAGAAGGAAAAGGUUGAAGAUCAAUGCCGUGCCCGAACCAUCAAAA